GUUGAAACACUAGUUCCAUAUGAACACCAAAGUUAAGCAACAUCAAGCCUGGCCAGUACCUAGAUGGGUAGCCACUUGGGAAUAUCAGGUGCU